rnacentral:snRNA from 1 species
UAUUUGGAAGAACUUCAGAAU